rfam:Vibrio ezurae NBRC 102218 DNA, contig: VEZ01S39.
CACGUAGCCUGAUUACCCGAAUCAUUAUUACCGACACCACCAGUGUUGGGGCAGGCUGCUGAAAGAAAACUUUUACAAAAAAGGCCUGUAUCCCACCAGAUACAGGCCUUUUUUAU